rnacentral:rRNA from 1 species
GGCGAACUGGUGAGUAACAAGGUGACUAACGUGCCCCUGAGUGGGGGAUACCCCCGCGAAAGCGGGGCUAAUACCGCAUGAUCUCCAUGGUGCUUCGGCAUCGCGGAGUAAAGCAGUAAUGCGCUCGGGGAUCGGGUCACCUCCCAUUAGCUAGUUGGUAAGGUAAUGGCUUACCAAGGCUACGAUGGGUAGCUGGUCUGAGAGGAUGGUCAGCCACACUGGGACUGAGAUACGGCCCAGACUCCUACGGGGGGCAGCAGUCUAGAGGCUUCGUCAAUGCCCGAAAGGGUGAACGAGCGACGCCGCGUGCGGGAUGAAGGGCUUCGGCUUGUAAACCGCUUUUCUUUGGGAAGAAGGUCCGUGUCGUGAACUCGGGCUCGACGGUACCAGAGGAAUAAGCCCCGGCUAACUCCGUGCCAGCAGCCGCGGUAAGACGGAGGGGGCGAGCGUUGUUCGGAAUUAUUGGGCGUAAAGGGCGCGUAGGCGGACCGGCGGGUCCGGCGUGAAAUCUCCACCGCUCAACGGGGAGAAGCCGCUGGAAACUACCGGUCU